UUAAUUAGCAAAAGGGAUCUCUGGUAGACUUGAAACUACCUAGUUCCAUAAAGACGUCUGACCUUGCUUCUAACUUUCACAACCUCAAAGCUUUUAAUAGCUUAACUAUUAUGUCUACUUUUGUGAAACACAGCCCAUGUACAAAAUCUGGCGAGAAAAACAUGACCCCGUUAUGAUCACUUUCAUCUGACUUGUAUCUUGCUCACUUUAAAUGACUGCCAAUCAUUGAGGAAAAUUGUAGAAUAACUGGAGAGGCUAAAGAUGCUCAGGGAAGCCACGUCUUCCGCAGGAGCUCUGGAACCAAAAGGUGGAUUGCGCCCAGGUUAUGUGCUAAUGCUCAGGACAAGUGUUCUAAUAAAAAUGUAUCCCAGGAGGCUGUACUCUGAAGGUCAACACCAUAAGCACUUGCUCAUAUGCUAAGUUUAGACCAACGAUCAUCAUGACAUUUCAAACAUCAUGUUCUCUUGCCCUGACUUGAACUUUUAUGGAUAACUCUAUUUCAAUAACGUGUCCAACCAAAACAUGUAAAGUGGUCAUGAAUGUGUUUUGCUUCAUGAAGAAGAAUGUAAACGAGGAACUCAGAAAAUGUUCUCAGACAUGUUUUUUUUUCUGAGUAGACAACGGGAAAUACAUUUGAGUAUCACUGUGAUCACGCUGUAUUAGUAAGAAUGUCUUGACCUAUUUGCCCUAUUUUUUACUCUUCUAAAUAUUUUAAAUGUACUAAAAGCUGUAUCAUUCAGCCAUAUUUCUACAGCAUGAAUCAUCCCUGGAUACAGUUCAUUGACUUCUUCUUCUUUUGUGUCAACUUUAUUGACGUCAGCAGGGACACAAUCCGUCUAGGAGUUCUUCUGCUGCCGUUCUUGUUUAAAUGAAUAGGGGAUUGAUUGUGGCCCCUCUUUUGCUUCCAAUAUUUUAUGUAUCACAUGCCCUGGAGAACUCUCUGUUUCAUUAAAUCAGUUGAGAUAAAUCAUCACAGACUGAAUUGUAUCUUGAUAGCAAGAUAGCUGAACACUGAAUUAUUAAAUUCACUUGUUUUGGAAGUAAAGACACAAAAAGCAACACAGUCACUUGCAAAACUGAUGUUGUGUGAAUCAAAACAACACAGUCUAUCUUUUCUCUUCCAAAAUUUUCUGCUCCUUGGACUUUGAGAUUGCACUGUCAAGCGUCAUCACUGGUAGCUUCUAACUGUAGCAGGGAACAGACAUCCUGAAAUUUUAGGCUGAGACCUUCCCACUUGCACCAUGAAUUGCUCCUGCUCGUAAUGUCCUAUUUGAAGUCUGCACGUUACUAAAUAUACUGUACACAUGAAUUCCACAGCAUUCUAUUUGAUUUAAACAGUUAGAAAAAAAUUAUUACCACCACAUCACCAAAUUAUGAGUGGAAUGUCUCCUCUCUUUUACA
rnacentral:lncRNA from 1 species